rnacentral:rRNA from 1 species
UUUGGUCAAGCUACGAAGGGCACAUGGUGGAUGCCUUGGCACAAGAAGGCGAUGAAGGACGUGGCAAGCUGCGAUAAGCCUCGGGGAGGUGUAAGCAACCUUAGAUCCGAGGAUCUCCGAAUGGGGCAACCCGACCCGGGUAAUGCCGGGUCACUGCUCGCUGAAUCCAUAGGCGAGUCAGAGCGAACGAGGCGAACUGAACCAUCUUAGUAGCCUCAGGAAAAGAAAGCGAAUGCGAUUUCCCCAGUAGCGGCGAGCGAAAAGGAAACAGCCUAAACCGUUUGUAUGCAAAAGCCUGCAUGCGUUGUACAAACGGGGUAGCGGGAAAGAACCGGACCAGGAUGCAGCUUGGUCGAGAAGUUACAAACCUGCACCUUAGUCGAACAUCCCUGGAAAGGGUGGCCACAGAGGGUGAUAGCCCUGUAGACGAAAAGGUAGUAGGCUUCUUGGGUUCUUCUCCCAAGUACUGUGGGACACGAGGAAUCCCGCAGGAAUCUGUGCCGACCACGGCAUAAGGCUAAAUACUCUCUUGUGACCGAUAGUGAACCAGUACCGUGAGGGAAAGGUGAAAAGUACCCCUGUUAGGGGAGUGAAAUAGUACCUGAAACCAUGUGCUUACAAGCAGUUGGAGCUUUGUGAGCUGACUUUGGUCAACUCACGGGGUGACAGCGUGCCUUUUGUUUAAUGAGCCGGCGAGUUACUCGUGCGUUGCAAGGUUAAGUCCCCCAAGGACGAAGCCAUAGCGAAAGCGAGUCUUAAUAGGGCGUCUGAGUAACGCGCGGUAGACCCGAAACCGAGUGAUCUAUCCAUGGCCAGGAUGAAGCUCAGGUUAAACUGAGUGGAGGUCCGAACCGAUGUAGGUGAAAACUGCUCGGAUGAGCUGUGGAUAGGGGUGAAAGGCCAAUCAAACUCGGAGAUAGCUGGUUCUCCCCGAAAUAGCUUUAGGGCUAGCCUUGCAUUAUAGAGUGGUGGGGGUAGAGCACUGGAUGGGCUAGGGAUCUUAAUGGAUCACCGAACCCAACCAAACUCCGAAUACCACUUACUCGUUUUGCAGGAGUCAGGUUGCGAGGGAUAAGCUUCGUAGCCGAGAGGGAAACAACCCAGAUUGUCAGCUAAGGCCCCUAAAUGUAGGCUAAGUGACUGAAAGGAGGUCGGGUUGCUUAGACAACCAGGAUGUUGGCUUAGAAGCAGCCAUCAUUUAAAGAGUGCGUAACUGCUCACUGGUCAAGUGGCCUGGCGCCGAAAAUUGGCGGGUCUAAGCCUACUGCCGAAGCUGCAAAAUGUCGGCCCCAAAUCGCCGGCUAUUGGUUAUCGGUUCUUGCUGAUGACCAUUGACCGACGGCUGGCGACCGAUAUUGGUAGGGGAGCGUUCCAUUAACCUGUGAAGCCCUUCGGUGACGGAGGGUGGAGGAGAUGGAAGUGAUUAUGCCGGCAUGAGUAGCGAUAAUUCCGAUGAGAAAUCGGAACACCGAAAGUCUAAGGUUUCCUGGGGAAGGUUAAUCCGCUCAGGGUAAGUCGGGUCCUAAGCUGAGGCCGAAAGGCGUAGGCGAUGGAGAUCAGGUUAAAAUUCCUGAACCACCUUGGUGGCGUCUGAGCGAUGGGGUGACGCAGGAGUGAAAGGUCAGCCUCGUGUUGGCUUACGAGGUCCAAACCUGUAGGAGGUCUCGAUAGGCAAAUCCGUCGGGGCGUAACUCCGAGAGGUGAUGGGGAGGCUGUAAGGCCACAAACUGACCCUAAGCAUGCUGCCAAGAAAAACCUCUAAGCGAGUCAUCAGGGUGACCGUACCGCAAACCGACACAGGUAGACGGGGAGAGAAUCCUAAGGUGCUCGAGAGAACCCUCGUUAAGGAACUCGGCAAAAUGACCCCGUAACUUCGGGAGAAGGGGUGCCUCUGGUAGGUGAAGUCCCUGCGGAUGGAGCCGAAGGAGGUCGCAGAGAAACGGCCUGGCCGACUGUUUACUAAAAACACAGGUCUCUGCCAAGUCGUAAGACGAUGUAUAGAGACUGACACCUGCCCGGUGCCGGAAGGUUAAAGGGAACCGUUAGGGGGCAACCCCGAAGCGGUGAACUGAAGCCCCGGUAAACGGCGGCCGUAACUAUAACGGUCCUAAGGUAGCGAAAUUCCUUGUCGGGUAAUGUCCGACCCGCACGAAUGGUGUAACGAUCCGGGCGCUGUCUCAACGAGGGACUCGGCGAAAUUGUAUUUCCGGUGAAGAUGCCGGAUACCCGCGGCAAGACGGAAAGACCCCGUGAACCUUUACUACAGUCUGGCAUUGGGUUUUGGCUGGGCAUGUGUAGGAUAGGUGGGAGGCUGUGAAGCCCCGACGCCAGUCGGGGUGGAGCCGUCCUUGAAAUACCACCCUUGUUCAGUUGAGGCUCUAACCUGGAUCCUUGAAUCAGGGUCAGGGACAGUGCUUGAUGGGUAGUUUGACUGGGGCGGUCGCCUCCUAAAAAGUAACGGAGGCUCCCAAAGGUUCCCUCAGCACGGUUGGUAAUCGUGCGUAGAGUGCAAAGGCAUAAGGGAGCUUGACUGCGAGACCUACAGGUCAAGCAGGUGCGAAAGCAGGGCUUAGUGAUCCGGCGGUUGCGUGUGGAAGCGCCGUCGCUCAAAGGAUAAAAGGUACUCCGGGGAUAACAGGCUUAUCUCCCCCAAGAGUUCACAUCGACGGGGAGGUUUGGCACCUCGAUGUCGGCCCAUCGCAUCCUGGGGCUGGAGAAGGUCCCAAGGGUUUGGAUGUUCGCCAAUUAAAGCGGUACGCGAGCUGGGUUUAGAACGUCGUGAGACAGUUCGGUCCCUAUCUGCCGUGGGCGCAGGAUAUCUGAGGGGAGCUGCCCCCAGUACGAGAGGACCGGGGUGGACGAACCUCUAGUGUACCAGUUGUCCCGCCAGGGGCAAAGGCUGGGUAGCUAUGUUCGGAAGGGAUAACCGCUGAAAGCAUCUAAGCGGGAAGCCUCCCCCAAGAUGAGAUAUCCCAUCCGAGUGAUCGGAUCUGAAGGCCUCCCGUAGACCACGGGUUUGAUAGACCGCAAGUGUAAGCAUGGUAACAUGCUCAGCUGAGCGGCACUAAUAGGCCGUGCGGCUUGACCAAAU